rnacentral:rRNA from 1 species
GGAUCGAUUUACUGGUCGUGCCUAUGGUACGUACUGGUUUCGUUGGUUCCUCCUUUCCGAGGAGCCGUGAUGUCAUUAAUUUGGUGUCGCGGAGAAUCGGGACUGUUACUUUGAAAAAAUUAGAGUGUUUAAAGCAGGCUAACGCUUGAAUACAUUAGCAUGGAAUAAUGAAAUAGGACGAUUGAUCCUAUUUUGUUGGUUUAUAGGAUUGCCGUA